AACGAACGCUGGCGGCAUGCCUAACACAUGCAAGUCGAACGAGACAUUCGGGUCUAGUGGCGCACGGGUGCGUAACGCGUGGGAACCUGCCCUUAGGUUCGGAAUAAAUCCCCGAAAGGGGUGCUAAUACCGGAUAAUGUCUUCGGACCAAAGAUUUAUCGCCUUUGGAUGGGCCCGCGUUGGAUUAGCUAGUUGGUAGGGUAAAAGCCUACCAAGGCGACGAUCCAUAGCUGGUCUGAGAGGAUGAUCAGCCACACUGGGACUGAGACACGGCCCAGACUCCUACGGGAAGCAGCAGUGGGGAAUAUUGGACAAUGGGCGAAAGCCUGAUCCAGCAAUGCCGCGUGAGUGAUGAAGGCCUUAGGGUUGUAAAGCUCUUUUACCCGGGAUGAUAAUGACAGUACCGGGAGAAUAAGCUCCGGCUAACUCCGUG
rnacentral:rRNA from 1 species